rnacentral:sRNA from 1 species
GGCUAGUUCCUAUGAUACUGGGCUAUCAGAAUUUAACAUCCACAUUCAAGUCACUAAAGUCCCCCACUGCUAAAUUUGACUGGCUUUAA